rnacentral:pre_miRNA from 1 species
GACUUCAACUGAAAAAGUCAUCAACAACAAAGUUGUAUAAUCCAUCUGAAUCUACAAUUUUUAUUUUGGUCAUUUCUUCAUCCGACAAAGUGAUAGUAAGAUUGUUCUCAAAAUUUACAUAUCUCUUAUACGGUUUUAUAAACUAUAAGAGAGAUUUGGAAAUUUUGUGAACAAUAUUAAUAUCACUUUGCCAAAUGAAGAUAUGACUAAAAUAAAAGUUAUAGAUAUUCAUGAGUUAUACAACUUUCUUGUUGAUGACUUUUUCAGUUGAAAUC